UACGAAGGGUGCAAGCGUUACUCGGAAUUACUGGGCGUAAAGCGUGCGUAGGCGGUUUGUUAAGUCCGCUGUGAAAGCCCUGGGCUCAACCUGGGAAUUGCAGUGGAUACUGGCAAGCUAGAGUGCGGUAGAGGAUGGUGGAAUUCCCGGUGUAGCGGUGAAAUGCGUAGAGAUCGGGAGGAACACCCGUGGCGAAGGCGGCUCACUGGCCCGAUACUGACACUGAGGCACGAAAGCGUGGGGAGCAAACAGG
rnacentral:rRNA from 1 species